UUCUGAGACUCAUUUAGAAACUACAUGGAAAUGGAAUCACAAGACAAAAGAAUUAACCACAGCCAGCAGCAUUUAGGUGAAAUUCAAAAUGGACUGGGAUGUUGUGGCUGGAUCCUGGUUAUCAUCUCGUACAUGUUGGUAAUAAUAACCUUCCCCCUUUCGAUAUGGAUGUGCAUUAAGAUUAUUAAGGAGUAUGAGCGUGCUGUCAUAUUCAGGUUUGGACGUAUUACCUCAGGAAAAGCAAAGGGAC